CAGUCGCCGCGGGAAUACGGAGGGGGCUAGCGUUGUUCGGAAUUACUGGGCGUAAAGCGCACGUAGGCGGAUUGUUAAGUCAGGGGUGAAAUCCCGAGGCUCAACCUCGGAACUGCCUUUGAUACUGGCGAUCUUGAGUCCGGGAGAGGUGAGCGGAACUGCGAGUGUAGAGGUGAAAUUCGUAGAUAUUCGCAAGAACACCGGUGGCGAAGGCGGCUCACUGGCCCGGAACUGACGCUGAGGCACGAAAGCGUGGGGAGCAAACAGGAUUAGAUACCCCUGUAGUCCCUGUCUCUUAUAC
rnacentral:rRNA from 1 species